CGGUUUUUUUACGUGCUGUUCAAGAAGAAUUUGCACAGAAAUCACGGCAGAAGUCUGGGCGUUCAAACCUUCCCUCGAAGAGCUUCAUCCCUGAACGCUUGGAGCUAUCUCUAUUAGAAUUACUUUGGCAUCCCAGUGGUAUUUCCUUCUCCAUGGCAAACUCUCUCGAUUACAAUUAUUAAACCAGGUGACAAUUGCUAUUUGUAGCUAUUAUAUAAGACAAUAAUUCUAAUGUCUAUUUUUUUAA
rnacentral:lncRNA from 12 species